CUCGUAGGCGGUUUGUCGCGUCGGGAGUGAAAACGCCGUGCUUAACACGCGCUUGCUUUCGAUACGGGCAGACUAGAGGUAUGCAGGGGAGAACGGAAUUCCUGGUGUAGCGGUGAAAUGCGCAGAUAUCGGGAGGAACACCGGUGGCGAAGGCGGUUCUCUGGGCAUGACCUGACGCUGAGGAGCGAAAGUGUGGGAGCGAACA
rnacentral:rRNA from 1 species